rnacentral:rRNA from 1 species
UACAGAGUGAGCAAGCAUUAUCCAUCCUAACUGGGUAUAAAGGGUGUGUAGGCGGGGAGCAUAUAUAAGACUAGAUGAAAAUGAUUAUAUUCUUGGUAAGCAUUUCUAGUACCAGCUAUCUUUGAGAAAUAAAGAGAUUGUUAGAAUAUGUAGUGUUCAAUUGUUCAGGAAACUGUCGAUCUUAUAGGGACUACCAAAGGCGAAGGCAUUCAAUCUGUUAUAUUCUGACGCUGAGUCACGAAAUCGUGGGGAGCAAAAGGG